UACAGAGGUCCCAAGCGUUGUUCGGAUUCAUUGGGCGUAAAGGGUGCGUAGGUGGCGCUGUAAGUGGGGUGUGAAAUUUCGGAGCUUAACUCCGAAACUGCAUUCCAUACUGCGGUGCUUGAGGACUGGAGAGGAGACUGGAAUUUACGGUGUAGCGGUGAAAUGCGUAGAUAUCGUAAGGAAGACCAGUGGCGAAGGCGGGUCUCUGGACAGUUCCUGACGCUGAGGCACGAAGGCCAGGGGAGCAAACGGG
rnacentral:rRNA from 1 species